UACGAAGGGGGCUAGCGUUGCUCGGAAUCACUGGGCGUAAAGGGUGCGUAGGCGGGUCUUUAAGUCAGGGGUGAAAUCCUGGAGCUCAACUCCAGAACUGCCUUUGAUACUGAAGAUCUUGAGUUCGGGAGAGGUGAGUGGAACUGCGAGUGUAGAGGUGAAAUUCGUAGAUAUUCGCAAGAACACCAGUGGCGAAGGCGAGUCCCUGGACAACUUCUGACGCUGAGGCACGAAAGCUAGGGGAGCAAACAGG
rnacentral:rRNA from 1 species